rnacentral:lncRNA from 1 species
AAUUGUGCUGCCUGUCUGGGUGAUUUUGAUUGUUUUCAUCACGGAAAGGAGCAACACUAGAAUUUCUGGUGUGUUCAUCUAAGGGUCUCUAUUUUGCCUGUCUGCUGCCCCACCUUUCUCAGAGCCCGAUCUUUAAGUUGGACUCCAAUUGAGUACUUAAAUGUUUAAGGAACGGUGUACCUCUGCAAAAUGAUUCAUUCUCCCUAAUUCAUAAUCACUGUUUAUAUUGUCCUUAACAUUUCUUGGAAAGUUUCUUUUGAACAGACACUUAACAAGGAACUGGAGCUUGUAAUGCAGAGACCAUACGUGCUGAAGACUUGUUAAAACACUAGCUUCUGAUUGUAUUGGAAUUGUGUUUGCUUGACAGACUGGUACUGACCUCAGACUGGUUCAUAGGGGAAAGCAAUUAGUGUGGGAGAAGAGGGAAAAGGCAGCCUUAGUCACAUAGGGAGAGUAUGCAGAACGUGUAUGUCGAAUGAAGAUUUGCAGCUCACAGAGAGCUUUUGUUUCUCUAAUCAGGGAAAUACUUGUCCUGCCUGGACUCCUUCAUGGUUUUUGUUCCUGAUCUGAGCAAGACCACUGUGUUCUGACGCCAAGAAAUUGGCUUCUACCUGGGAGUGCGUUUUGAGGCUUGACUUGCAGAAAACAGUUUCCUUUGAGUGCUGUUCUGUACCACAUGCAGCACACUUUUCAGCUCAGCAAUGUCAGUUUGGCACUAGACGUGUCCCCUCCAUCCCCAUUUCCUUAGAAGGUGAGACUGAAGAAGCAGCUUGCUCAAUCAAACUGAGGAUCUGCAUUCUGUUGUGAAGCCUUUCUAUGUUAAUCAUGUUUAAGCCUUCUGUGAAAGAGGAUUGCAGGGUCAGGGCUUGUCAGUGGUCUGACGCAAUCUCCUUUGUGACAGAGCAGAGGCUGUGGUUAGGAAGGCAGUGUGCUUGUUUCAAACCGUAGGUGUGUCUGGGUCCAAGCAUAUGUGGUCAUAUCAGGCUUCACAGCCUCUCCUGGGGACCGAGCUGUGCUGAGACAACGUGCAGAAACCAACUGAAGCAUCUUCCAAGAUCUGCGAGCAGAACAGCAUUGAGCAGAACAGCAUUGAGCAGAACAGCAUUGAGCAGAACAGCAUUGAGCAGAUAAGUGCUUCUGCCCCUUUUUGCAUGGGGUUCAUCUGUUAGAAUUUGAACAGCACACACGAGGGCAUGGUACAAGUCAGUGUGCAGCUGUCUGUGAAAACACAAUGGCUGAAUGGUAGUGCUUAGGAAGAAUGUUGUAUAACCUUAAGCCUUAUUCCAGGUAUUGGGUGAUGGGGAAAGCUGCUUUUGGUCCUCCUGCAUUGGACAAGAAAACAGAAAGUUCAUCUGAGCUCAUUUAGAAUCCUUUUUGCACAACCCUUAAGAAGUGUAGUGCUGGAAAGCUGAAUGUGCCAGUGUAAGAAUUGCAGGAUUGUGGUACCCACAGAAGUGUGGCCCCAAGAUAGAACAAGAAGAAACAAAAGCCACACUGUGUAACAGCGUAGUAGUUCGUAAACCUGGCUGCAAGCAAUAAAUACGCAAUAGGCACCAGGGAAGGAAAUCAAUAACUUUAUUUCAUGACUUUUAAGCACUUUUGCUGGUUGAUCUUGAUUUAUUUUCACCACUUCACUACCAGUGCAAUAGGCUGGAGUUAGAAAGUAGCUGGUUACAGAGCUCUGUGGGUGAAGCAUUGGGCGUUCAGUGCCCCACGUGCAUUCAGAGCCCCAUAUCUCAGCAUCUGGGGCUCCAGGGCAGGACACUUCACUUGCACGCUGACAGAAGUCAGAGGUAACCCUUACCCCAAGGCAGUGAUGGGUGCUGGGGGUCCCCCUGAGCUUUGCUGCCUGCCGCCCUGCAGCCCUCUCAGUGUCUGAAUGAAAUGCAGCAUUUAUUUUCUCGGUGUACAUCAGCUCAGUGCCAGCACUCUCUUGAGGUUUUAUGCUCUCAGAGGCUAAAGUAAAACUUUAUGGCACUUCUGUGCUUGGCAUUUACAUCCUGUUUAUGUAAAUGCCUCAAACAGCUUGAUUUGUAAGAGAGAAAAACAAUUCUUGCUGUAUCUUUUUCCCUUUUGAAGUGUCCAUCCACUCUGGAAGAGGAGAACUUGUAUGGAAAUUAAGUAAUU